AGAUGGUUGCUGUGAGGAGAAGGAAAUGUUAGUGCUUGGAGGGGCUGCCUACAAGAAAUCUCGAGGAGUGACACAGAUCUGAAGUCAAGGUGUCUUUGCACAUGAUUUUUGCAAGCAGCAACAGUGACUUACAGUUCUGUGUAAGGCUGGCUGUACAAACACGAGUUCCCUUGCACAAGCUCUGCUGAAGCUGGUCUGAAGCUCCCACAGUCUCUUUCCUCAGUUAAGCAUGAGAACGAAUCUCUCAGAAGGCUGUGGGCAAAGGCUGAGAAGGUUCCUGUGGGCUUCUGUAAAGCAGCAAGAUGAAAAUCAAAGGGGAGAACGCAGAGCACCACAUAAAGUGAUUCAAAGAAACACUGGAGCCUCCUAAUUUGGAAGAAAAAUGCAAAACAUAAACGUUAUCAUCUUUCUUAGAGGAAAAAACUUGUGCUACCAUGCUGGAAAACUGGUAGUGAGCUGGCCUAGCAAGUUUCCACUGUGAUGGCCAGUUUCACCCUAAUUUGGAGAGAAAAAAAAUUGAGUGCAAAGCAAGUGUUCAACAGACAGAUCCUGAGCUACCAGUCAGCAUGUGCAGACUUCUCAAUAUUGAAAUAGUGCUCCCACUCCAAGUGUAUCCUGAAAACAAGGAUCCAAUACAGCUUUCAUCAGAAAGCAGAGCAAAGAGCUAUCUAAUGUAGCCAGAAUUAAAAAGUGAAUUCUCGGAUCCCCAGGUGUGUGCAUCAAUGUCUGUGUCUACCCAAGCAAGUGAUUUAUUUCAUGCAUAUGCAGUACAUGAAAAAGUAAAGUAAAACAAGCACAUGCAAGGGGACGGGGAGAGUCCUAUGCUCCAAAUAUCCAGAUCCAGGACAGUGACAUUUCACUGGACUAGCAGACAGGUGGGCUCACAGCUGAGUGUCCCACUUUUGAGCAGACAUCCAGGCAGAGCAGUUCCUACUGUGUGACUGUUCGAAUUCAGGCCAUGCACGCUAAGGCAGCUAGGAUCACAUGGCCAGGAAGCAAAGCAACAUCCACUAAAAGAAGAUCUGUUUUGGGAUCUCUGACACCGGCCUCAGUGGCUGAGCAGUUACAUCUGCUCACCAGCAAAACAUGGGUGUGCAGGGCAGAAAGUGAUGCGGCUGCUGAACUGAUGUGAGCACAAGGAAGGAUCUGUUUGAGGAAAGCAGUGGUUUAAGGAGUCCCUCCAAAGGUACUACAGGAGGCAGAAAACCAGAGGUGUAGAGGAAGAAUGAAGCUACAUGAACAACUGAUGGGACCGGAAAUCUGACCAUAAUAUUAAGUCAGUAAAACCUAUUUUACCUGAAACUUCUUGAUUUCUAGCUCUGGAUCACGUUUUUUCUCAAAGUUUUCAUUACAAAAAGAAAAGAACUAGUCAUCUGGUUUUAGUUUUGACCCUACACAUGCAGGGUAUUCCAGACUGCACAACUGGUUGCAGCCUUAA